rnacentral:misc_RNA from 1 species
UUUCCGUAGGUGAACCUGCGGAACGAUCAUUACAGAUUUCAUGCCCGAAAUUAUAUACCUCCCCCCCUUGUGUAUUAUUACUUUGUUGCUUUGGCGUGCGCCAGCUCGCCAGAGAAUACCAAAACUCUUUUUAUUAAUGUCGUCCGAUUACUAUAUAAUAGUUAAAACUUUCAGCAACGGAUCUCUUGGUUCUG